AGCCCUCGGUAUUCUUUAUCCACAAGACCCAAACACUGGCCUGAGUGGUCAUAAAAGGGGGAAAAGUAAAACUGAAAGGGACUCCAAUUCUCCUGUGCCUCGCCAGCUCACAAUCGCACUGCCGUCUGGUGCUGGACUCACAGGG
rnacentral:snoRNA from 1 species